rnacentral:rRNA from 1 species
AUUGAACGCUGGCGGCAUGCUUUACACAUGCAAGUCGAACGGCAACACGGGGGCAACCCUGGUGGCGAGUGGCGAACGGGUGAGUAAUACAUAGGAACGUAUCCUGAAAUGGGGGAUAGCUCGGCGAAAGCCGGAUUAAUACCGCAUACGAUCUACGGAUGAAAGCAGGGGAUUCGCAAGAACCUUGCGUUUCUGGAGCGGCCUAUGUCUGAUUAGCUAGUUGGCGGGGAAAAGCCCACCAAGGCGACGAUCAGUAGCUGGUCUGAGAGGAUGAUCAGCCACACUGGGACUGAGACACGGCCCAGACUCCUACGGGAGGCAGCAGUGGGGAAUUUUGGACAAUGGGGGCAACCCUGAUCCAGCCAUGCCGCGUGAGUGAAGAAGGGCCU